rnacentral:rRNA from 1 species
GCCAGACUCCUACGGGAGGCAGCAGUGGGGAAUAUUGCACAAUGGGGGAAACCCUGAUGCAGCGACGCCGCGUGAGUGAAGAAGUAUUUCGGUAUGUAAAGCUCUAUCAGCAGGGAAGAAAUACUGACCUUACGGUCAGCAGACGGUACCUGACUAAGAAGCCCCGGCUAACUACGUGCCAGCAGCCGCGGUAAUACGUAGGGGGCAAGCGUUAUCCGGAUUUACUGGGUGUAAAGGGAGCGUAGACGGCGAAGCAAGUCUGAAGUGAAAACCCAGGGCUCAACCCUGGGACUGCUUUGGAAACUGUUUUGCUAGAGUGUCGGAGAGGUAAGUGGAAUUCCUAGUGUAGCGGUGAAAUGCGUAGAUAUUAGGAGGAACACCAGUGGCGAAGGCGGCUUACUGGACGAUAACUGACGUUGAGGCUCGAAAGCGUGGGGAGCAAACAGGAUUAGAUACCCCUGUA